GCUACUUGAGAGAUGGUGGGGACUGCAGGAGCUCGACUCAGCUCAGGGACUGGGCUGGGGGAGCAGAAAUCAAGACUCUCGAGCUUGGCACUAGAGGGAAGCUGCCUGUGUACCCAGGAUAGGAGUUACCACGGUGAUGUCCCUGCCAGGCAUGCCAGGGUCGUGUGACACCUCUAUGACCUCAUAGCGGCUGCCACAUCCCCAGACUGCUCUAACUUCUACACAGUGCUUUUCCCAAGGAGUGGGAGCCUGCCAGCCUGUCUCCGGCCAGCCCACCGCCCCUGGAACUCUAUUGUACCCUGCUGUCCUCAUCCCUCUUCAAAAGCAACGGAUGCAGACAUCUGAGGAAGCAAAAUAUUCAACAAGGGUUGGAAGGAACAAUGAGGCGCCGCUGAGUAACUCUCAGCCAACCAGAAAAUACCCUGAGCUUCCUGCAGAGCAGCUAAUCGUGGGCAGUUACCACAGUGGCACAUCAUAAACAGUCUGUAAAAGGCCCAGGAGCUCCGCUCACACCCUCCCAGAGCCACAGACUCCCCAGCACAUCUGCAUACACAUGGCUGCCCAGUGGAGGAGGCCAGCGUGGCCACAGCCAGCCCAGCCACAGCCAGCCCGUCCAGGGCCUAUCCGGCUGUGUCUUCAUCCUGGUCACAGACCCUUCCCGGGAAGAUUGAAGGGCCAUUUUACUCCUGGGGGAUUGCAGGCUCAGAGAGGGGGGUCUUCAGCAAGGCCACAGAGUGAGCAAGCUGCUGGUGAAAUGGUUGUUGCACAGAGUAGGAACAAGAAUAAAAGUUGAACCCACUGGGCUUCUGUCUGGAUGAUUCUUCUGCCACACCUUCACCUGGUCAGCACCUGGACUGAGCAUCCUUCCUCUAUGGGUUUUCAUGGAUCUCUGGGAUUGGAUUCUGGGCCCCACAAGGACAGGAACACAGGGGUCCUGGGCAUAGCUCCCAACACCCAGCCUGCCCAGAAAG